UACAGAGGGUGCAAGCGUUAAUCGGAAUUACUGGGCGUAAAGGGCUCGUAGGUGGCCAACUAAGUCAUACGUGAAAUCCCUCAGCUUAACUGGGGAACUGCGCCUGAUACUGGUUGGCUUGAGUUUGGGAGAGGGACGCGGAAUUCCAGGUGUAGCGGUGAAAUGCGUAGAUAUCUGGAGGAACACCGGUGGCGAAGGCAGUUCUCUGGGCCGUAACUGACGCUGAGGAGCGAAAGCGUGGGGAGCGAACAGG
rnacentral:rRNA from 1 species